GAUGGUUUCACCAUCCACAUGAGACAGAGCCAUCUGAAGAACGCUUUGCACAGAGACCUACAUCAGAUCUCCAAGUUUCCCAAGAGACUUACCUGCUGCCACAGAACCAUCUGAGACAGCGCUAUCUCCUGGGACCUACAGACAAAAGCUGACUUCCUUCAAAAAUCUCAUUUGACUGAAGACUCCCGAGACAAGUACUGAGCUACAGAAGACAGACAUGGGACCAUCCAGCCUCAGAUGGAAUUUUAUGCCAAAGCCAAAUGGCUGAUGAACUUUGGGGAAAGUUGCAUGAUAGUGAGGAAAGUAUAAUGUCUAUCUAGAUUAAUUAAUUGCUGUUCAAAAAUGGAUGUUAUUACCCUCAAAUUGUACUACCCAUGGAACAACUGAUUGAUUGUACAAUCUCUUGCCUUUUCAAUGCUUACCCUUAAUUCUCCUUACUACUCUGGCUUUGUUCUGCUACUUCUCUAGGCUAUACAUUUUCUUCUGAUACUUCCAUUCACUCUAAAUUUUUACCACUAAUGAAACAAUCACAUCAGUGACUCCCCGUUUUUUUUCUUAUAAAAACAGAGGGGAAGAUGUGGGGAUGGUAGGCAUUUGUGCAAGUGCUCCUGGAACUCUGGUCCUUGCCUAAAUUACCACACCCCACAGCUCCCACAAGAGAAGCAUGGUCAGUAGUCACAUGGGCAGUAGCCCAAGCUUCUGACCUUCAGAAAAAACUCCUCUCCAGUUACCUAGCAACAAUAAAGACCAUAAAAUGGGUUAUUCAGCCCCACCUUGAUCUCUUACCUCUUACUUCUCACUCUCUUACUUGCCUCCCUCUUACCCCUCACUCUCACCCCCUCUCUCCUCUCUCUUUGCCUUCUCCUCGCUCCUCUCUUACUCUCUUUCUCUCUAGCCAUUUCUCUCUCUCCCUCUCUCUCUCUCUCUCUCUCUCUCUCUCUCUCUCUCUCUCUCUCUCUCUCUCUCCCUCCCUCCCUCCCUCCCUUCUCUCUUUCCCCCUGCAUUUCUAUAAUAAAGCUCUAAAACCAUUAAAGCUCUAAAACCAUGGAAUGUCUCUGCUCAUCAAGGCCCACUGUGCUUGGAGAAUGGGACAGGCUUUCUCCUAAUGAGCCAUUUCUAAUCUCCCAUUAGAAGGCCUUCCUGUGCUCCAGUCAAGAUCUGCUGAACUCACUCUCACAGGUGUUGUGAACCUCUUUCCUUAUCCUUCU
rnacentral:lncRNA from 1 species